CUUAUUCAUUAUUUUGAAAAAGAAGUAGUGCUGGGGAUUCGCUACUCAUUGACAUUGGAUGAAUACACAUCAAUUCAAAAUAAACGAUAUAUGAACAUAAAUGUUCAUGGGAAAGACAAUCAUUGGUCGUUGGGUCUUAUUGAGAUCCACGGCUCCCUUAAUAGCAGGAGAACAGAGCAAUUUGUGAGAGGACAUCUUCGUGAAUUUAGAUUGUUGGCUGUACGACGGAUGGUGCUUCUAUGAUGAUGAAAUUCGGAAAAGAAAUAAGACCUGAUCACCAACAAUGUCUCACACAUUGCAUACAUCUGUCUGUGAUCGACAUUCUCUAUCAAAAAAAUAUUGAAAAUAUUGCCUCAACCGAUGAGACUGAUAAAACAAAAGUGAAGAGAUCGCUAUAACAGACGAUAGUGAUGAUGACGCUGACAUAAGCCAACAGGACAUGCUUUUUCAAACAGAUUUGGCUCACGAAAAUGUUUGUUUUCCCCAGCUAAAACUUGAAUUUAACAAAGUUUUAAAUAAGGUAAGAAAAAUUUCAAAACUUUUCCGUAAAUCUCCUACAAAAAAUGAAAUUUUGCAAUAUUUUGUACGAGCGAACUUCGAUAACAGAGAAUAUAAACUUAUUGCAGAACUAGGUGGAAUAGCACAUUCCAUAUGAUUGAGAGAUUUUUGAAAUUGAACAGCUGCAUUCCAAAUGCUCUACGAGCAGUACUUUCCACAGAUGCCGUGGCUGACGAAGAAUGGAAAUCUCUAGAUUUACUAUAUUAAAUUCUGCAGUCAGUCGAAAUUAUUUUGAAAGCUAUUUGCGCUGAUGAUAUGGAUUUACUGAAAGCGGAACAUUCUAUAGAAUUUUUAUUGAAUAAACUUAAUAUCGUCGGCAACCCUUUGGCUCUAAAUCUUCGCGAAAGACUUAUGCAUAGAUAUAAUAAGAGAAGAAAUGUUGAAAUCUUGACUCUCUUGAGGUAUUUACAUAACCCAAGGAAGUUUAAAGGUGAAUCAAUUUCUGGACCUUUUCUUUUUUUAACGAAAGAACAUUUAAGGAAGUAUGCUGAACAAACAUAUAGGAGAUUGUUUCCUGAACAUGACGCUGAGAACACAACAGAAUUAUACAAAGAAAAUGAAAUAGGAGGAGACCUAAAAACAAAUGUUACUGUUGUCCCAUCUACUUACGAAGGUAACGAACUCAUGCGUGAAUACGCAAGCGCAAUGAAGAAAAUGAAGGAAGAGCCCAAGAAUGUAACAGAUGGAUUUGAAAUCUCUAAAGAAUUCGAAUAUUUUGAAGCAACCUCGAACAGAAGUGAAAAGCUCGAGAAACUUUAUAGAGCAUUGCUUACAACUAAAGCAACUAGUGUCCAGUCGGAAAGAGCUUUUUCAAUUACUGGACUUUUCAACACAAAAAUUGGGACAAGUUUCUCAGAUAAUUAGCUCCAGGGAAGCUAUAAGAUGUUCGACAGGCACUCAGCUCUUGGUGUACACUUACUUAUAGGAAAAAUAGUUGCAAGUCAUUUGAUUGUGGCCAUGCUGGAGGACCACCUGUAGUCG
rnacentral:misc_RNA from 1 species